CCUACGGGUGGCAGCAGUGAGGAAUAUUGGUCAAUGGUCGCGAGACUGAACCAGCCAAGUAGCGUGAAGGAGGAAGGCCCUGCGUGUUGUAAACUUCUUUUAUCAGGGAAUAAAGUGUGGCACGUGUGCCCUGUUGUGUGUACUUUAUGAAUAAGCAUCGGCUAACUCCGUGCCAGCAGCCGCGGUGAUACGGAGGAUCCGAGCGUUAUCCGGAUUUAUUGGGUUUAAAGGGGGCGUAGGUGGUUUGUUAAGUCAGGUGUGAAAGUUUGGGGCUCAACCGCAAAAUUGCAGUUGAUACUGGCAGUCUUGAGUACAGUAGAGGUAGGCGGAAUGCGUGGUGUAGCGGUGAAAUGCUUAGAUAUCACGAAGAACUCCGAUUGCGAAGGCAGCUUACUAAAUUGCCACUGACACUGAUGCACGAAAGUGUGGGUAUCAAACAGGAUUAGAUACCCGAGUAGUC
rnacentral:rRNA from 1 species